rnacentral:rRNA from 1 species
UACGAAGGGGGCUAGCGUUGCUCGGAAUCACUGGGCGUAAAGGGUGCGUAGGCGGGUCUUUAAGUCAGGGGUGAAAUCCUGGAGCUCAACUCCAGAACUGCCUUUGAUACUGAAGAUCUUGAGUUCGGGAGAGGUGAGUGGAACUGCGAGUGUAGAGGUGAAAUUCGUAGAUAUUCGCAAGAACACCAGUGGCGAAGGCGGCUCACUGGCCCGAUACUGACGCUGAGACACGAAAGCGUGGGGAGCAAACAGG